UAGCGUGCUUGUUUGACGUUAGCUGCAGAAGAAGCACCGGCUAACUCCGUGCCAGCAGCCGCGGUAAUACGGAGGGUGCGAGCGUUAAUCGGAAUUACUGGGCGUAAAGCGCAUGCAGGUGGUUUGUUAAGUCAGAUGUGAAAGCCCCGGGGCUCAACCUCGGAAUUGCAUUUGAAACUGGCAGACUAGAGUACUGUAGAGGGGGUAGAAUUUCAGGUGUAGCGGUGAAAUGCGUAGAGAUCUGAAGGAAUACCGGUGGCGAAGGCGGCCCCCUGGACAGAUACUGACACUCAGAUGCGAAAGCGUGGGGACGCAAACAGGAUUAGACUACCCUGGGAA
rnacentral:rRNA from 1 species